GAGUAUGUGGCUCAAAGGUAGAGCUCUUGCCUUGCAUGCAGAAGGCCCUGGGUUUGAUCUCCAGCACAACCA
rnacentral:tRNA from 1 species